AAGUAGGAUUUAAGUACAAUAUAGCUGUUCAGUGCUAUGUUGUUCUCCCUCCUCAAACAGUGUUAUUUCUUAACUAUACCUAUCUGCUAGACACCUGUAGUAGCCAGGGACGCUUGGUUUCAUACAU
ensembl:snoRNA SNORA63 Small nucleolar RNA SNORA63